rnacentral:lncRNA from 1 species
GUGAAAAGCAAGUCAUAGAGGAGUAAAGCCAUGUGCAGGGUAGGCUUCCAUUUUAAAAGGCAGGACUUCUACUGGUGCUCACACUUCCACCUUCCAAGCACACAAGCACAGGCACUCAUCCCAUGCUGAUGUCCAGUGAAAGGCAUGUCGGGCGUUGUUUCAUAAUUGAAGAAGAAAAGUUUUUCCACAGAGAUAUUACACCAGAUGAAGCCACAGAGGAGGAUGAAAAGGCU